UACGGGGGGGGUAAGCGUUGUUCGGAAUUACUGGGCGUAAAGGGCUCGUAGGCGGCCAACUAAGUCAGACGUGAAAUCCCUCAGCUUAACUGGGGAACUGCGUCUGAUACUGGAUGGCUUGGAUCCGGAAGAGGGAUGCGGAAUUCCAGGUGUAGCGGUGAGAUGCGUAGAUAUCUGGAGGAACACCGGUGGCGAAGGCGGCAUCCUGGACCGGUAUUGACGCUGAGGCGCGAAAGCCAGGGGAGCAAACGGG
rnacentral:rRNA from 1 species